rnacentral:tRNA from 1 species
ACCUCGGACAGGUCGAAUGGUCAGUAUGCAAGCUUGUCACGCUUGAGACCUGGGUUCAAUUCCCCGCGGGAUG